AGUUACUGAGAACUCAUAAGACGAAGCUAAAAUCCCUCUUCGGAUCCACAGUCAACCGCCCUGAACACAUCCUGCAAAAAGCCCAGAGAAAGGAGCGCCAUGGAUUACUACAGAAAAUAUGCAGCUAUCUUUCUGGUCACAUUGUCGGUGUUUCUGCAUGUUCUCCAUUCCGCUCCUGAUGUGCAGGAGACAGGGUUUCACCAUGUUGCCCAGGCUGCUCUCAAACUCCUGAGCUCAAGCAAUCCACCCACUAAGGCCUCCCAAAGUGCUAGGAUUACAGAUUGCCCAGAAUGCACGCUACAGGAAAACCCAUUCUUCUCCCAGCCGGGUGCCCCAAUACUUCAGUGCAUGGGCUGCUGCUUCUCUAGAGCAUAUCCCACUCCACUAAGGUCCAAGAAGACGAUGUUGGUCCAAAAGAACGUCACCUCAGAGUCCACUUGCUGUGUAGCUAAAUCAUAUAACAGGGUCACAGUAAUGGGGGGUUUCAAAGUGGAGAACCACACGGCGUGCCACUGCAGUACUUGUUAUUAUCACAAAUCUUAAAUGUUUUACCAAGUGCUGUCUUGAUGACUGCUGAUUUUCUGGAAUGGAAAAUUAAGUUGUUUAGUGUUUAUG
rnacentral:lncRNA from 1 species